GUCUUUUUGUAAUUUAUUUAAAGUCUAACCUGCCCAUUGAAAUUUUAAAAGGCUGCAGUAUUUUAACUGUACAAAGGUAGCAUAAUCAUUAGUUUUUUAAUUGAAAACUCGUAUGAAUGGUUGAAUGAAAUAUAAACUUUUUUAAUUUUAUAAUUGAAAUUCACUUUUUAAUAAAAAGAUUAAAAUAAUUUUUAAAGACGAUAAGACCCUAUAGAGUUUUAUAUAAAAUUAUUAAUUUUAAACUAAAUUUAUCUAUAAAAAUUAUUAUAAAUUAUAUUUUAUUGGGGUGAUAAUAAAAUUUUAUAAACUUUUAUUUACUUAUUACAUUAAUUUAUGAUUAUAGAAUUGAUCCAUUUUUAAUGAUUAAAAAAUUAAAUUACCUUAGGGAUAACAGCGUAAUUUUAUUUUUAAGUUCUUAUUAAUAAUAAAUUUUGCGACCUCGAUGUUGGAUUAAGAUUAAAUUUAGGUGCAGAAGUUUAAAUUUUAAGUCUGUUCGACUUUUAAAUUCUU
rnacentral:rRNA from 1 species